GGGUUGUGAGGUUAAGCGACUAAGCGUACACGGUGGAUGCCCUGGCAGUCAGAGGCGAUGAAGGACGUGCUAAUCUGCGAUAAGCGCCGGUAAGGUGAUAUGAACCGUUAUAACCGGCGAUUUCCGAAUGGGGAAACCCAGUGUGAUUCGUCACACUAUCAUUAACUGAAUCCAUAGGUUAAUGAGGCGAACCGGGGGAACUGAAACAUCUAAGUACCCCGAGGAAAAGAAAUCAACCGAGAUUCCCCCAGUAGCGGCGAGCGAACGGGGAGGAGCCCAGAGCCUGAAUCAGCAUGUGUGUUAGUGGAAGCGUCUGGAAAGGCGCGCGAUACAGGGUGACAGCCCCGUACACAAAAAUGCACAUGCUGUGAGCUCGAUGAGUAGGGCGGGACACGUGGUAUCCUGUCUGAAUAUGGGGGGACCAUCCUCCAAGGCUAAAUACUCCUGACUGACCGAUAGUGAACCAGUACCGUGAGGGAAAGGCGAAAAGAACCCCGGCGAGGGGAGUGAAAAAGAACCUGAAACCGUGUACGUACAAGCAGUGGGAGCACCCUUUGGGGUGUGACUGCGUACCUUUUGUAUAAUGGGUCAGCGACUUAUAUUCUGUAGCAAGGUUAACCGUAUAGGGGAGCCGGAGGGAAACCGAGUCUUAACCGGGCGUUAAGUUGCAGGGUAUAGACCCGAAACCCGGUGAUCUAGCCAUGGGCAGGUUGAAGGUUGGGUAACACUAACUGGAGGACCGAACCGACUAAUGUUGAAAAAUUAGCGGAUGACCUGUGGCUGGGGGUGAAAGGCCAAUCAAACCGGGAGAUAGCUGGUUCUCCCCG
rnacentral:rRNA from 1 species